UCCUGGUCUCUCCUAGGCUGUCACCGAUCUGGGCUGGUCGCGACCUACGCUGAUCCAGGAAAAGGCCAUCCCACUGGCCCUAGAAGGGAAGGAUCUCCUGGCUCGGGCCCGCACGGGCUCCGGGAAGACGGCCGCUUAUGCUAUUCCGAUGCUGCAGCUGUUGCUCCAUAGGAAGGCGACAGGUCCGGUGGUAGAACAGGCAGUGAGAGGCCUUGUUCUUGUUCCUACCAAGGAGCUGGCACGGCAGGCACAGUCCAUGAUUCAGCAGCUGGCUACCUACUGUGCUCGGGAUGUCCGAGUGGCCAAUGUCUCAGCUGCUGAAGACUCAGCCUCUCAGAGAGCUGUGCUGAUGGAGAAGCCAGAUGUGGUAGUGGGGACCCCAUCUCGCAUAUUAAGCCACUUGCAGCAAGACAGCCUGAAACUUCGUGACUCCCUGGAGCUUUUGGUGGUGGACGAAGCUGAUCUUCUUUUUUCCUUUGGCUUUGAAGAAGAGCUCAAGAGUCUCCUCUGUCACUUGCCCCGGAUUUACCAGGCUUUUCUCAUGUCGGCUACUUUUAACGAGGACGUACAAGCACUCAAGGAGCUGGUAUUACAUAACCCGGUUACCCUUAAGUUACAGGAGUCCCAGCUGCCUGGGCCAGACCAGUUACAGCAGUUUCAGGUGGUCUGUGAGACUGAGGAAGACAAAUUCCUCCUGCUGUAUGCCCUGCUCAAGCUGUCAUUGAUUCGGGGCAAGUCUUUGCUCUUUGUCAACACUCUAGAGCGGAGUUACCGGCUACGCCUGUUCCUGGAGCAGUUCAGCAUCCCCACCUGUGUGCUCAAUGGAGAGCUUCCACUGCGCUCCAGGUGCCACAUCAUCUCACAGUUCAACCAAGGCUUCUACGACUGUGUCAUAGCAACUGAUGCUGAAGUCCUGGGGGCCCCGGUCAAGGGCAAGCGUCGGGGCCGAGGGCCCAAAGGGGACAAGGCCUCUGAUCUGGAGGCAGGUGUGGCCCGGGGCAUAGACUUCCACCAUGUGUCUGCUGUGCUCAACUUUGAUCUUCCCCCAACCCCUGAGGCCUACAUCCAUCGAGCUGGCAGGACAGCACGCGCUAACAACCCAGGCAUAGUCUUAACCUUUGUGCUGCCCACGGAGCAGUCCCACUUAGGCAAGAUUGAGGAGCUUCUUAGUGGAGAGAACAGGGGCCCCAUUCUGCUCCCCUACCAGUUCCAGAUGGAGGAGAUCGAGGGCUUCCGCUAUCGCUGCAGGGAUGCCAUGCGCUCAGUGACUAAGCAGGCCAUUCGGGAGGCAAGAUUGAAGGAGAUCAAGGAGGAGCUUCUGCACUCUGAGAAGCUUAAGACAUACUUUGAAGACAACCCUAGGGACCUCCAGCUGCUGCGGCAUGACCUACCUUUGCACCCCGCAGUGGUGAAGCCCCACCUGGGCCAUGUUCCUGACUAUCUGGUUCCUCCUGCUCUCCGUGGCCUGGUGCGCCCUCACAAGAAGCGGAAGAAGCUGUCUUCCUCUUGUAGGAAGGCCAAGAGAGCGAAGUCCCAGAACCCACUGCGCAGCUUCAAGCACAAAGGAAAGAAAUUCAGACCCACAGCCAAGCCCUCCUGAGGUUGUUGAGCCUCUCUGGAGCUGAGCACAUUGUGGAGCACGGGCUUACACCCUUCGUGGACAGGCGAGGCUCUGGUGCUUACUGCACAGCCUGAACAGACAAUUCUGGGGCCGGCAGUGCUGGGCCCUUUAGCUCCUUGGCACUUCCAACCUGGCAUCUUGCCCCUUGACAACAGAAUAAAA
rnacentral:sRNA from 1 species